CAGCAGCCACGGUAAAACGUAGGUGGCAAGCGUUGUCCGGAAUUAUUGGGCGUAAAGGGCUCGCAGGCGGUUUCUUAAGUCUGAUGUGAAAGCCCCCGGCUCAACCGGGGAGGGUCAUUGGAAACUGGGAAACUUAAGUGCAGAAGAGGAGAGUGGAAUUCCACGUGUAGCGGUGAAAUGCGUAGAGAUGUGGAGGAACACCAGUGGCGAAGGCGACUCUCUGGUCUGUAACUGACGCUGAGGAGCGAAAGCGUGGGGAGCGAACAGGAUUAGAUACCCCGGUAGUCCCUGUCUCUUAUAC
rnacentral:rRNA from 1 species